UGCCCCCGGCCAGGCGUAAAACAGGCCGACGCAAGGGGAUGCGACCCCCGUCAACAAAGCAUA
rfam:Oscillibacter valericigenes Sjm18-20 DNA, complete genome.